AAAAACCCCGGUGGUAUGAGAUGGACCCGCGUCUGAUUAGCUAGUUGGUGAGGUAACGGCCCACCAAGGCGACGAUCAGUAGCCGGCCUGAGAGGGCGACCGGCCACAUUGGGACUGAGACACGGCCCAAACUCCUACGGGAGGCAGCAGUGGGGAAUAUUGCACAAUGGGGGAAACCCUGAUGCAGCGACGCCGCGUGAGUGAAGAAGUAUUUCGGUAUGUAAAGCUCUAUCAGCAGGGAAGAAGAAAGACGGUACCUGACUAAGAAGCCCCGGCUAACUACGUGCCAGCAGCCGCGGUAAUACGUAGGGGGCAAGCGUUAUCCGGAUUUACUGGGUGUAAAGGGAGCGUAGACGGCUGUGCAAGUCUGAAGUGAAAGCCCAGGGCUCAACCCUGGGACUGCUUUGGAAACUGUGGAGCUAGAGUGCUGGAGAGGUAAGUGGAAUUCCUAGUGUAGCGGUGAAAUGCGUAGAUAUUAGGAGGAACACCAGUGGCGAAGGCGGCUUACUGGACAGUAACUGACGUUGAGGCUCGAAAGCGUGGGGAGCAAACAGGAUUAGAUACCCUGGUAGUCCACGCGGUAAACGAUGAAUACUAGGUGUUGGAGAGCAAAGCUUUUCG
rnacentral:rRNA from 1 species